CGCAUUUCUCUUUCGUACUCAUUUCACUUCAAGUUCUGCUACAAUGAGAUUACGUCGAAAUGCACCACUUCAUCUUCAUCUUCAUCUUCUUAAUUUCUUUAUGCGGAUUUUGUCAUUUCGUCUAUGCAUUUUUCGAAUUUCACCUUCCAGAUGCGCCAUCAGUUACGAGAUGGUCCCUCGGCUCGGGAAAUGGAUUCUCUUCCAUCGAAUGGACGAAUAAGUUAGCGUCGCGUUCUAUGAACGGAUGACUGACCACGAUCGACAGAUAGAAGGACAUAUCACAGUUUGGUUUGGGGUUAAAUUAUUUGAACGGAGGCUGAUUUGUCCAAGCAUUUGAAUAUGAAAAGUAUUUCAGGUAUUCAUCAACAUUCUUGUUGCUGAAAAAUUUUCAGAAUUCUUGCGUGUUGAUCAUUAAUUCAUCAAAUCUCAGGCGGACAAAUUAGAUCCAGUUUGUGUGUUUAAAUGUGAAGUGGAGCUGAUGAAUUUUGUCCUGAAAUUCUCACUUCUGUUGCUUGAAAUUGGUCAUUUUGCUAAAGCUAUAAAGUAAUUUUGAUUUUCUUUUUGUAAUAAGAAAUAGUUGUGGCCUAAUUAUUGUUCAAUGUAAGUUAUGAAAUUGUUAAAACCUUGAAACUAAAUAUUUUAU